GGUGAGUCCUGUCCCACUCUGGCCAGUGGGAACAGUUGCGUUUUUUACAGUAAGGGUGUACUCGUGUAUUGCUUAUGUAAAAAACCAGUGAAGAUAAAAGAAACAAAAUUUAUUUAACAGAUGCAUGUUCCUGGUCAUUCGGGAUUUAUAGGCAAUGAAGAAGCUGACAGAUUAGCAAGAGAAGGAGCUAAGCAAUCUGAAGACUGAACAAAGUAAUUUUAAUUCUUGGAAAAGCUUCCGUGAGUGACUCUUUUCUUACCCUUCCUUACUGGUGUGAAAAAUAAAUCAGAAGGUACAUCAGAAGGUCAUUCUGUGAUUCCCUGUGGUUACAUGUAUAAUACAUUGAACAAAUUUGAGAUUUGAGCAUUAUUUGAGAUUUCAGCAUUAUGCUUUAUUGGGUUGGACACUGUUCUCAUUAGUUUUAUGACCAUCUGGACAGAAAUUUUAGGACUGGAUUUAAUAAGGCAUGAAUACAGCAGUGGUUUUAAAAUGCAGACAGGAAGUCUGGAAGUAUUCUAAAAGUGUUUAUUUACCUUACAGUUGGCAGGAUUCAGUCUCAGAAUAUUCUGGUUGACUUGUACCUCUCUGUGGAGUAGAGCAAGUCAGGGCUGGGCCCACACCUCGGUGCAGAGAGAGCGGACUGGGUCUUACCUGCCCGGGCACCUGUGCGCAAGGCAGGCCUGCACAUCCGUAGUCCUGGCUGCUUGACCACUGAUGGGAGCAGUUACUUACACAGCAAAAUGCAUAAAUAAACCUUUUAAAAUUUCUUUGGCUGUUUUUUGUUUUGUUUUAAUUUUUUUUAACGUUUGUUUAUUUUUGAGAGACAGACUGUGAGCUGGGGAAAGGGCAGAGAGAGGGAGACACAGAAUCCAAAGGAGGCUCCAGGCUCUGAGCUGUCAGCACAGAGCCCGACGCGGGGCUCGAACCCACAAGCCGUGAGAUCAUGACCUGAGCCAAAGUUGGAUGCUUAACCGACUGAGCCACCCAGGCGCCCCACUUUGGCUGUUUCUCUUAAAAGCACUGUGCAAGUUAAAGUUUGAUAUA
rnacentral:lncRNA from 1 species